UGUUCUCAAGACAUUAUUGCUUCAAAUAGAGAGAGUGCUGUUUUGUCUGCUCUCACUCGCCAUCCUGCAUACCAUCCUGAUGUUAGUUCAGAAUCAGCUACAACCUCCACUCGAGGUUAUACAGAUGGCAACAGAUCAGGCAGUGAUACAAUUCAGAGAUCCGAUGAUGUAACAGUAGACAGUACCAUUGCUGGUAAAAGGCGUAUCAAGUUUCCAGUUUCUAUGGAAAACGAUCAAAAGACUGAUGAUAGUUCUGUUUCCCAACACUUUGUCUCGCAAAAACCGUUGAUCGGGUGUCUUUUUCUGGGAAACAAGUACCUCAUAGACCUGGUGUUGCAUUGAGGAUUCUUUCUGAGGAUGCUGAAAAGCGGUCUAGAUACAGAAAGCAUCCUGAAACUUUUGAAAAGGAGCUAGUGAUGACGUCAGAUCAAGCAUCUAUGAAGAAUCAGCUGUUGCCUAAAGGAUUUGUUUAUGUUCCUAUUCGAUGUCUUUCAAAAGAGAAAGAGACACUUCCAGAUGCAUGUGCGCAAGAACCAUUGGAACAUGAUGGUUAGGACAAUAUAAUGAAAAUUUUGAAUACCCUGAUUUAGCCACAUCCAUCUUGGAUGUAGUCUUUUGCAAGCUGAUUUUACCAGAAGGAUGAUGGCUUAUUAGAUGCCCUGAUGUGGCCGAAGUGGGUACAUUAUUGCUGCCAGUCGGUCCUGCUAAGCAAGCUUGGAUCGUUGUAAAAUCAUUCACUGCCCAGACGGGGAUGGUGGUUUCUUCCCAUUCCUUGUGUCAAGUGCUUAAAUUGGUUGGGUUGUUUGUGUGUUUCUUGGCAGAAGGGAUUGAAGAAGCUGGAGCUUGUAAUUGUUUGUAAUGCCUACUCAUGGGCUUUGUAAAGUUUGUGUACAUAUUCUUACCAUGUAAACAGUCAAAGCAAUGGUGCAACCUCAAGUUAAUUAGUGGAUUAAUUUAUUUGUCAAAAUGAUGGUGUCACACAUUUUAUUGUUUUUAACUGCAGGUCCACUAUCCUUUUAAGAAGAGGCUUAGUCCUUGUGAUUGUUCUUGAUGGUUGACGUCCUGCUUUACAUUUAUCUUGGAUUUUAGGCUGUGGUAGCUUUAAUGGCUGGCAUUUAAGUGGGGCUCAGUUUAUUUAUUUAUUUUGUAGAUCUCUCUCUCUCUCGCAAUAAGAGGGGAUCUUCAUGGAAUAUUAUUUAAGUUGUUUGAAUGCUGACCGUCAAGUGUAAGAGAUUUCAAAGCUUUUCUCUUUUCGUAGUGAAAGUGACACGUGUGAGGACGGAACCAUCAGUUGCACCUGAUCCUGAAGGAGAAAUACAAGGAUGGGAAAUUCACAGGGAAGUACU